rnacentral:rRNA from 1 species
GACAGAGGUUGCAAACGUUGUCCGGAAUCAUUGGGCGUAAAGCGCGUGUAGGUGGCUUCGUAAGUCCGUUGUGAAAGUCAAAGGCUCAACCUUUGAAAGCCGAUGGAUACUGCGGAGCUAGAGUACGGAAGAGGCGAGUGGAAUUCCUGGUGUAGCGGUGGAAUGCGCAGAUAUCAGGAGGAACACCAAUAGCGAAGGCAGCUCGCUGGGACGUUACUGACACUAAGGCGCGAAAGCGUGGGGAGCGAACAGG